CAGAUUGAUUCAAGCGACGAGUACUCGAUCAAUUUCAGCCCUUGGAGCAAUCCUCUCCAUCUUUAUCACUCUCUUCUUUGUGCCUAGUA
rnacentral:ribozyme from 1 species